AAGAAACUAACUAGGAUUCCCUUAGUAACGGCGAGUGAACCGGGAUGAGCUCAAAUUUAAAAUCUGGCGUCUUUCAGGCGUCCGAGUUGUAAUCUAUAGAGGCGUUUUCCGCGCCGGACCGCGUCCAAGUCUCUUGGAAUAGAGUAUCAAAGAGGGUGACAAUCCCGUACUUGACGCGACAACCGGUGCUCUGUGAUACGUUCUCAAUGAGUCGAGUUGUUUGGGAAUGCAGCUCUAAAUGGGUGGUAAAUUCCAUCUAAGGCUAAAUAUUGGCGAGAGACCGAUAGCGAACAAGUACCGUGAGGGAAAGAUGAAAAGCACUUUGGAAAGAGAGUUAAACAGCACGUGAAAUUGUUAAAAGGGAAACGAUUGAAGUCAGUCGUGUGAAAGGUAUUCAGCCGUCUCUGGCGGUGUAUUUGCCUUUCACGGGUCAACAUCAGUUUGAUCCGGUAGAAAAAGGCGGGAGGAAGGUGGCACCCUCGGGUGUGUUAUAGCCUCCUGUCAUAUGUGCCGGACCAGACUGAGGAACGCAGCUUGCCGCAAGGCCGGGGUUCGCCCACGUACAAGCUU
rnacentral:rRNA from 1 species